rnacentral:rRNA from 1 species
UUCCGAUCCUGGCUCAGAUUGAACGCUGGCAGGAUGCUUUACGCAUGCCAAGUCGAACGGCAGCACGGACUUCGGAUACGGUGGCGAGUGGCAGGCUGGGUGAGUAAUGUAUGUCGGAACGUGCCUAGUAGCCAGGGAUAAUACGCGAAAGCGUAGCUAAUGCACAUGCGCCCUUCGGGGAAAGCGGAGACCUUCGGGCCUCGCACUAUUAGAGCGGCCGAUAUCGGAUUAGCUAGUUGGUGGGGUAACGGCUCACGAAGCGACGAUCCGUGGCUGGUUUGAGAGGACGACCAGCCACACUGGGACUGAGACACGGCCCAGACUCCUACCAGGAGGCAGCAGUGGGGAAUUUUGGACAAUGGGGAAACCUGAUCCAGCCAUCCCGCGUGUGCGAUGAAGGCCUUCGGGUUGUAAAGCACUUUUGGCAGGAAAAGCGGCACAGGGAUAAGCACCCCGUGCAACUGACCGGUACCUGCCAGAAUAUAAGCUCGGCUAACUACGUGCCAGCAACCAUGAUGACCACUGCAGUAAGGUGCAAGCGUUAAUCGGAAUUACUGGGCGUAAAGCAUGAGCGGUUCGGAAAGAAAGAGUGUGAAAUCCCAGAGCUUAACUUUGGAACUGCAUUUUUAUACCGAGCUAGAGUGUGUCAGAGAGUGGAAUUCCGCGUGUAGCAGUGAAAUGCGUAGAUAUGCGGAGGGAACACCGUCGGCGAAGGCAGCCUCUGGGAUAGCUGCAACGCUCAUGCACGAAAGCGUGGGAGCAAACAGGAUUAAGAUGCCCUGGUAGUCCACGCCCUAAGCGAUGCAGCAGCUGUUGGGCAGCGGGCCCCUUGAAAUGGCUGUGCGCGUGAAGUUGACCGCCUGGGGAGUACGGUCGCAAAGAUUAAAACUCAAAGGAAUUGACGGGGACCCGCACAAACGUGGAUGAUGUGGAUUAAUUCGGAGUACAACGCGAAAAACCUUACCUACCCCGCGGCAUAUCCUGAAUCCCGAGAUUGGGAGUGCUCGCAAGAGAACCGGAGCAGGUGCUGCAUGGCUGUCGUCAGCUCAUGUCGUGAGAUGUUGGGUUAAGUCCCGCAACGACGCAACCCUUUGUCAUUGGUGCUACGAAAGGGCACUCUAAUGAGACUGCCGGUGACAAACCGGAGGAAGGUGGGGAUGACGUCAGAGUCUCAUGGCCCUUAUGGGUAGGGCUUACGUCAUACAAUGGUCGAGACAGAGGGUCGCCAACCCGCGAGGGGGAGCUGUCCAGAAACCCGAUCGUAAGUCGAGAUCUGAUCCGCAACAAACUGCGUGAAGUCGGAAUCGCUGGUAAUCGCGGAUCAGCAUGUCGCGGUGAAUACGUUCCCGGGUCUUGUACACACCGCCCGUCACACCAUGGGAGUGGGUUUUACCAGAAGUAGUUAGCUAACCGUAAGGAGGGCGAUUACCACGAUGAAGUUCAUGACUGGGGUAAGUCGUAACAAGGUAA